CAGCCGCCGCGGUAAUACGAAGGGUGCAAGCGUUACUCGGAAUUACUGGGCGUAAAGCGUGCGUAGGUGGUGGUUUAAGUCCGUUGUGAAAGCCCUGGGCUCAACCUGGGAAUUGCAGUGGAUACUGGGUCACUAGAGCGUGGUAGAGGAUAGUGGAAUUUCCGGUGUAGCAGUGAAAUGCGUAGAGAUCGGGAGGAACAUCAGCGGCGAAGGCGGCCAUCUGGGACAACACUGACGCUGAGGCACGAAAGCGUGGGGAGCAAACAGGAUUAGAUACCCCCGUAGUCCCUGUCUCUUAUAC
rnacentral:rRNA from 1 species